UACAGAGGGUGCAAGCGUUAAUCGGAAUUACUGGGCGUAAAGCGUGCGCAGGCGGUUCGUUAAGUCAGCUGUGAAAGCCCCGGGCUCAACCUGGGAACUGCGGUUGAAACUGGCGAACUAGAAUCUGGCAGAGGGGGGUGGAAUUCCACGUGUAGCAGUGAAAUGCGUAGAGAUGUGGAGGAACACCGAUGGCGAAGGCAGCCCCCUGGGCUAACACUGACGCUCAUGCACGAAAGCGUGGGGAGCAAACAGG
rnacentral:rRNA from 1 species